AGCGAACGCUGGCGGCAGGCCUAACACAUGCAAGUCGAACGGGCACCUUCGGGUGUCAGUGGCAGACGGGUGAGUAACACGUGGGAACGUACCCUUCGGUUCGGAACAGCCCGGGGAAACUCGGGCUAAUACCGGAUACGUCCGUAAGGAGAAAGAUUUAUCGCCGAAGGAUCGGCCCGCGUCUGAUUAGUUAGUUGGUGGGGUAAUGGCCCACCAAGGCGACGAUCAGUAGCUGGUCUGAGAGGAUGAUCAGCCACACUGGGACUGAGACACGGCCCAGACUCCUACGGGAGGCAGCAGUGGGGAAUAUUGGACAAUGGGCGCAAGCCUGAUCCAGCCAUGCCGCGUGAGUGAUGAAGGCCCUAGGGUUGUAAAGCUCUUUCGGCGGGAA
rnacentral:rRNA from 1 species